GGCCCAGGCGAGCCUGACAGGGUCCAACUGGACGGUGGCAGCGAAACCGGAGAGAGAGUUGAAGCAGACGUUAGGGUAGAGGGUGGCCCAGCAGCAGGCGUGGAUGAACUCUAUUGGUCCUUCGGACAAUGGCCAGAAUUCAGGGCCUGGGGCAGGCCGAGCAGAGGGGACUGAGGAGAUGAGGGCGAGGAAGAGGAGGAGGAGAGGAGAUUUU
rnacentral:misc_RNA from 1 species